UACGAAGGGGGCUAGCGUUGCUCGGAAUUACUGGGCGUAAAGCGCACGUAGGCGGCUCUUUAAGUCGGAGGUGAAAUCCUGGAGCUCAACUCCAGAACUGCCUUCGAUACUGAAGAGCUCGAGUCCGGGAGAGGUGAGUGGAACUGCGAGUGUAGAGGUGAAAUUCGUAGAUAUUCGCAAGAACACCAGUGGCGAAGGCGGCUCACUGGCCCGGUACUGACGCUGAGGCACGAAAGCCAGGGGAGCGAACGGG
rnacentral:rRNA from 1 species